rnacentral:misc_RNA from 1 species
CAAAGUCUCUUUCUACCCUACUUUCUUCUUUUUUUUAACAAGACGAAAAUUUUGUAAAACUUUGUAAUCAAAAUUCACAUUUUGCCUGAUUGCAUCUCUCCAUGGCUGCAACUAUUCAAGAAAACGCAUGAUAAUUUCCCAAAACAAAAUUGCAACAGCUGAUUAAUUACCCAAAACAUUGCCGAACGCUGUAAAAAUAAAAAAAAUAAAAGCGGCUGUCAUGCGCGUAGAGAACUUAAAAAUAAAACUUUGCGAAUGAAGGUACAAAGCAAACUAAAAACGGAGCGGUAGACAAAAGUUGAUAAAGGUAAAGAGUGUUGUGGCAAAAAAAAUUUCGAGCAAAUUCUAUUCCUUGCUGUGCGAUUAAAAGUUUAGAAAAAUAAUUGCAAAUACAAGCAAAAUAAAAAAAUACCUAUUCUCAACGGAGUUGGUGUACGGACACAAUCGUGGGUGGUAAAAUUGUAGAGAAAUUACCGGAUUUGCUUCGUAGUUCUUUGGACCUUCAUUUGGUCGUGUUCAGUUGAUAUUGAUUUGACUCUAUUAUAUUGUGGACUGCAGCAUUGCUUAAGAAGUGCAAAAAAUGGAUAUCUUGCGUAAAAUGUUUAAAAUGAACGAGAAGGAGUCAAACUCGAACGGUUCGGACCGUAAAGAUGAAGAAAGUGCAAAGGACGAGUUUCGUAAGCCCCAGUGGUUUGAGGAAGCCGAAACAGAUGAUGAACUUUUCGAUGAUAACCGCAAGUUUGCUUUUCAAAUUUUUACAAAUCCUGUGGAGUUGCAGAAACACUUUGAACGUCAAAUGCAGCAAAUCUUGGAGGCAGUGAGUGAAUUUGAAGAGGGUGAUGUUAAAAUUGACAAAGAUCUAAAGGAGGACUUUUUAAAACCUGGGUUUGAAAAUAUUGACAUUUUGAAAGAAUUUGAGAAAAAGAAAGGUGAAAUUAUGGACACUGACUUAGAUGGCGAAAUUUACGCCGAUCAGCUGCAUUCUUUAAUGCAACGGUUGUCGCCUAAUGAAGAAUUACCAAAUAUUUUGCCGCGUAAUGAUAACAAGGCGAUUCGCAAUCCUAUUCGAAAUAAAAAAUUGAGUGACGAGGACAAAAUUUUGGGUAAAAUACAUGGAACUCUUGAGAGUGAGGACGCAAUUCCGAAGCAACCACGAGUGCCUCGCUCGCGCCCUGAUAUGAUGACGCCAAUGACACCAAUGAUUCCACGGGGUCCAACACCAUUUGGCGGUGGUGUAUUUGAAGGGACUUAUCAGGGGCCAAAAAUGUUUAGUCAGAGCAUAAUGUCUAAGACUAUUCGCAAACCGGAUGGAAGUUAUGAGACUACCAAAAUUACUAAGGACUCACAAGGUAACACAACAACAACUGUAACACGUACCGUCGAUGGAAAAUCGGAAACAAUAACCACAUACGAUAAUGCUGUAGGAAACACCGUAAUCAAACAAAAGGAGGGCGGCAUAGCCGAAAAAUAUUCUGAUCGCAAUAUUGCCGUAACAAAAGAAGGUUACGCCGUACCAAGGAACCUCUGGUGACCAGUGGUGCUUAUCGGCCGAAACCUUGUUGGCAACUUAUUACCCGUCUAUAUUCAAAUUCAGAUAUACUAUGUAUUAGUAACUAGAUCUUUAAGUGUUUGGUGUUUUAGAUGAAAUUCAAUUGAGGCUACAGAUAGCAGAUAGCAUUGCAAAGGCAGCAGCAGCAGCAACUACAACAGCAACAACAACAUCACGGAUGACCGCAGCAUCCACAGCCAUGACAGAAACAUAUACAGAAACAGUAUGGUAGACGUACAUAGAUGAAUAGACGAAUUGUAAAAUUUAUUCAUCUUUUGAAUUGGAUUUUGAAAUGAACGAUUUGCAUAGAAAGCUCAUUUUUACGUGUGCUACACAUCUUAAUAAUCGUCUACAACCCUCUCAAAUGUGCAAUUCUAUACUGGUUCUGUACUGUUUUCAUGGAAUUUAUUUCGUAUAUCUUAUUAUUUUAAUUUGAUUACGAACAUCUUCAUGGAGCGUAAACAAACAGAACUGUGUGAUUUAUUUCGUAGACGCUCAUAUCAAAGCAUGAAACCAAUUAAUCCAACAAUCAAAAGAACACACUAGGAUUAUUUGGUAAAUGCCAGCCAGCGUUCGCGUCAGCGUCAGCAAGGGCGAAAAGAAUUGUUUAUUUGUUGAAACGUUUUUACGUUUAACACACAAACGAGAUGCCCGGCCAAAGAACCGUCAACAGCGAAGGUGUCCAAGAAGGAUAGCUAGUUAGUUGGAUAGCCAUUUACCGAAAUGUUUUAAUAAGAAAGAAAAUGAAGAAUGUAUUAGCACGAUUUAAUUCGUGAUAUGGAUUUUUCUAUGUGUGGCUGCUUUCAAUUGAGAGAAUAUUUGAACGCGAUGAUAUCCCAAUAAUUGCUUUAAUCAUAUAUGAUUACAUUCAAUAUUGAGUAUGUGUGUGAUAAAGUAAUAUUUGGUUACUGCAGUACUGAGUUUCAAUGAAAUCCAUCUAAAGUGCAAGAACAAAGAAAUUUUUGAAAAAUACAUCUACAUGCAUAUAUACAUACUUAUACUCCAUAUAUACAAAUAUGUUAAAAAUAAGUUAAUAUUCAUUUUCAUUAUCGCAUUAACACUUUUAACAUUAGUUAUUAAAAUGUCUUUACUUAUUUCUAUGAACUUACAUGCAUACAUACCUAUUGGCAAAUAUAAAGACUACUAUUAUUUCAUAGUAAUUUGAAACUUAAAUAAAUCCUAGUUUUGAAAUUCUUGACAAAAUUUAAAUAUUUUAAUAUAUGAGUGCAUAAUUUAAACCUAAGUUCGCUACGUUAGAACAUUAUUUCAGUUGAAAAUUACUUUUUUUUAUGAUAGCAUAAUAGAUGAUAUUAAAAUAUAUUAGUUUAAGAAUUGUUUUUUUUUUUUAAAGAGUACAUAUAUUGGUUCGUUAAUAAAUAAUCAUUCAGUGUUCUAUAUUAUUACCAAUGCAAAUAUAAUUUAGAAAUAUUUGUAUUUACAUACUUAUAAUAAAUAAAUACUACAUACAUACACUUUCAUCUACUUACGUGUGCAAUUAAAA